GAGGUAUUCGUCACUGCACCUGCGGAUCGGAACGAGGCCGGGCACCGCGCCAAGGCCUCGCUCCUGCUAUCUCCCUUUAUACUCACAGGAAUCCUGAUGGAGGUAUUAUGCGGAUCACCUUGUUACAGAUGAGGAAGCUGAUGUUCUGAGAGGGCCAAAGAUCAUACAGCUAGUGAUGGGCAGAGCAAGACGCCAGCCUGUGCCUGUUUGAGUCCAAAGGUUAUCCUUUAACUGUUUCGUCUCACAGAUCCCUACAAGUCCCAGGCGAAAAAAGAGAGAGAGAGAGAAACAAUAAGGAAAAAACUACCUCAUCUUCUCAUCACCAAACCCACCAGUCUGCCUGCGUCAGCACCCAAAUGCUCCGCCUUUCCUCCUGUGACCACAAAUGCACCUUCUCUGAUCCUCUGUAAGGCAAUCCUG
rnacentral:lncRNA from 1 species